UAAAGGUUUGGUCCUGGCCUUACUGUCAACCCUAGUUAAAAUUACACAUGCAAGUAUCAGCGCCCCCGUGAGGAUACCCACAGCCACCCACUAGGUGACAUGGAGUAGGUAUCAGGCACCACCCCCAUCGCCCAAGACACCUUGUUUAGCCACACCCCCAAGGGUACUCAGCAGUGAUAGACCUUAAGCCAUGAGCGAAAGCUUUACUUAGUUAAGACUAAGAGGGCUGGUAAAGCCCGUGCCAGCCACCGCGGUCACACGGACAGCCCAAGUUGACAAAAAACGGCGUAAAGAGUGGUUAGGGAGACAAACUAACUAGAGCCGAAAACCUCCAAGCCUGUGGUACGCCAUCUCGGAGGAGCGAAGACCAGCUACGAAAGUGGCUUUACUCUACCUGACCCCACGAAAGCUAAGACACAAACUGGGAUUAGAUACCCCACUAUGCUUAGCCUCAAACAUCGAAUGAACUUAACCAUUUCAUUCCGCCCGGGAAUUACGGACACCAGUCUAAAAACCAAAGGACUUGGCGGUGCUUUAAACCCCCCUAGAGGAGCCUGUCCUAUAACCGAUGACCCCCGUUUAACCUCACCCUCCCUCGCUCGAUCCACCUAUAUACCGCCGCCGUCAGCUUACCCUGAGAAGGGAUAGAAGUAUGCAAAAUUGGCAAAGCCCCAAACGUCAGGUCGAGGUGUAGUGCAUGAGAGGGGAAGAGAUGGGCUACAUUUGCUAACCAGAAGCAAAUACGGAUGUAUUAUUGAAACCGAUACUGAAGGAGGAUUUAGUAGUAAGAGGGGAGCAGAGUGCCCCGCUGAAACCGGCCCUAAAGCGCGCACACACCGCCCGUCACCCUCACCAAGCAUUUAAACUACACUAAGUAAGACGCCCCGAAGCACAAGGAGAGGAAAGUCGUAACAUGGUAAGUGUACCGGAAGGUGCACUUGGAAAAUA
rnacentral:ncRNA from 1 species